rnacentral:tRNA from 1 species
GCGUCGGUGGUAAAUGUCAGCAUAGCUGCCUUCCAAGCAGUUGAUCCGGGUUCGAUUCCCGGCCGACGCA